rnacentral:tRNA from 1 species
GCACCUGUAGCUCAGUUGGAUAGAGCGUUCGCCUCCGGAGCGAGAGGCCGCUGGUUCGAAUCCAGUCAGGUGCA